rnacentral:rRNA from 1 species
GUCGUGAGACAGUUCGGUCUCUAUCUAUCGUGGGCGUAUGAAAUUUGCGUGGCUCUGACACUAGUACGAGAGGACCGUGUUGGACUGACCGCUGGUUUACCAGUUGUGCCGCCAGGUGCAUUGCUGGGUAUCUAAGUCGGGAUUGGAUAAGUGCUGAAAGCAUCUAAGUACGAAGCCAGCCACAAGAUUAGAUUUCUUAGGGUCGUUAAAGACGAUGACGUUGAUAGGAUGCAGGUGUAAAGGUGGUAACAUCAAAGCCGAGCAUUACUAAUUGCCCGUUCACUUUCUUU